UGAUGCUUCGAUAUUAGCGAGCGCGGG
rnacentral:piRNA from 1 species